AGUGAACGCUGGCGGUAGGCCUAACACAUGCAAGUCGAACGGCAGCACAGUAAGAGCUUGCUCUUACGGGUGGCGAGUGGCGGACGGGUGAGGAAUACAUCGGAAUCUACUUUUUCGUGGGGGAUAACGUAGGGAAACUUACGCUAAUACCGCAUACGACCUACGGGUGAAAGCAGGGGAUCUUCGGACCUUGCGCGAUUGAAUGAGCCGAUGUCGGAUUAGCUAGUUGGCGGGGUAAGGGCCCACCAAGGCGACGAUCCGUAGCUGGUGUGUGAGGAUGGUCAGCCACACUGGAACUGAGACACGGUCCAGACUCCUACGGGAGGCAGCAGUGGGGAAUAUUGGACAAUGGGCGCAAGCCUGAUCCAGCCAUACCGCGUGGGUGAAGAAGGCCUUCGGGUUGUAAAGCCCUUUUGUUGGGAAAGAAAAGCAGCAGGUUAAUACCACGCUGUUCUGACGGUACCCAAAGAAUAAGCACCGGCUAACUUCGUG
rnacentral:rRNA from 1 species